GGACUGCUGACGAGUCCUAAACAGGACGAAACAGCUGUCCAGUGC
rnacentral:hammerhead_ribozyme from 1 species